GCAGACACAUUCCAGCCAAUCAGCAGCAGACCCUCCCUCCCAGACCCUCCCACCUCCUGGACAGCAUCCAUUUUGAAGCUGCAUUCUUAGUGAGCUGUCUAGGAGGUGGGAGGGUCUGGGAGGGAGGGUCUGCUGCUGAUUGGCUGGAAUGUGUCUG
rnacentral:miRNA from 1 species